AGCGAACGCUGGCGGCAGGCUUAACACAUGCAAGUCGAACGCACCGCAAGGGGAGUGGCAGACGGGUGAGUAACACGUGGGAACGUACCCUUUGGUUCGGAAUAACUUGGGGAAACUCAAGCUAAUACCGGAUAAGCCCUUAUGGGGAAAGGUUUACUGCCGAAGGAUCGGCCCGCGUCUGAUUAGCUAGUUGGUGGGGUAAUGGCUCACCAAGGCGACGAUCAGUAGCUGGUCUGAGAGGAUGAUCAGCCACACUGGGACUGAGACACGGCCCAGACUCCUACGGGAGGCAGAAGUGGGGAAGAUUGGGCAAUGGGGGCAACCCUGAUCCAGCCAUGCCGCGUGAGUGAUGAAGGCCUUAGGGUUGUAAAGCUCUUUUACCCGGGACGAUAAUGACUGUACCGGGAGAAUAAGCCCCGGCUAACUUCGUGCCAGCAGCCGCCGUAA
rnacentral:rRNA from 1 species